rnacentral:rRNA from 1 species
AUACGUAGGUGGCGAGCGUUGUCCGGAAUUACUGGGCGUAAAGGGCGCGUAGGCGGCCUGUCAAGUCAGAUGUGAAAUCCCCGGGCUUAACCCGGGAACUGCAUUUGAAACUGGCGGGCUUGAGGGCAGGAGAGGAAAGCGGAACUCCCAGUGUAGCGGUGAAAUGCGUAGAUAUUGGGAGGAACACCAGUGGCGAAGGCGGCUUUCUGGACUGUCACUGACGCUGAGGCGCGAAAGCUAGGGGAGCGAACGGGAUUAGAUACCCCGGUAGUCCUGGCUGUAAACGAUGGGCACUAGGUGUUGGGGGUAUCGACCCCUCCAGUGCCGCAGUUAACGCAAUAAGUACCCCGCCUGGGGAGUACGGCCGCAAGGUUGAA